rnacentral:rRNA from 1 species
GGGAGCCUGAGAAACGGCUACCACAUCCAAGGAUGGCAGCAGGCGCGCAAAUUACCCAAUCCCGACACGGGGAGGUAGUGACAAUAAAUAACAAUACGGGGUUCUUUAGGAUCUCGUAAUUGGAAUGAGUACAAUUUAAAUCUCUUAACGAGGAACAAUUGGAGGGCAAGUCUGGUGCCAGCAGCCGCGGUAAUUCCAGCUCCAAUAGCGUAUAUUAAAGUUGUUGCAGUUAAAAAGCUCGUAGUUGAAUUUCGGGGUUAGUAGGUUGGUCAUGCCUCUGGUAUGUACUGAUCUCACUGAUUCCUCCUUCCUUAUGAACCGUAAUGCCAUUAAUUUGGUGUUGCGGGGAAUUUGGACUGUUACUUUGAAAAAAUUAGAGUGUUUAAAGCAGGCUAACGCUUGAAUACAUUAGCAUGGAAUAAUGAAAUAGGACGUUCGAUCUUAUUUUGUUGGUUUCUAGGAUUGACGUAAUGAUUAAUAGGGAUAGUUGGGGGCAUUAGUAUUCAAUUGUCUGAGGUGAAAUUCUUGGAUUUAUUGAAGACUAACUACUGCGAAAGCAUUUGCCAAGGAUGUUUUCAUUAAUCAAGGACGAAAGUUAGGGGAUCGAAGACGAUCAGAUACCGUCGUAGUCUUAACCAUAAACUAUGCCGACUAGGGAUCGGAUGAUGUUAAUUUUUUAAUGACUCAUUCGGCGCCUUACGGGAAA